rnacentral:rRNA from 1 species
UACAGAGGGUGCAAACGUUGCUCGGAAUUACUGGGCGUAAAGCGCGUGUAGGCUGACCGGAAAGUCGGGCGUGAAAGCCCUGGGCUCAACCCAGGAACUGCACUCGAAACUCCCGGUCUAGAGUGGUGGAGAGGGAAGUGGAAUUCCUGGUGUAGAGGUGAAAUUCGUAGAUAUCAGGAGGAACACCAGUGGCGAAGGCGGCUUCCUGGACACCAACUGACGCUGAGACGCGAAAGCGUGGGGAGCAAACAGG